rnacentral:rRNA from 1 species
AACGAACGCUGGCGGCAGGCUUAACACAUGCAAGUCGAGCGCCCCGCAAGGGGAGCGGCAGACGGGUGAGUAACGCGUGGGAAUCUACCGAGCCCUACGGAAUAACGCAUGGAAACGUGUGCUAAUACCGUAUACGCCCUACGGGGGAAAGAUUUAUCGGGGUUUGAUGAGCCCGCGUUGGAUUAGCUAGUUGGUGGGGUAAAGGCCUACCAAGGCGACGAUCCAUAGCUGGUCUGAGAGGAUGAUCAGCCACAUUGGGACUGAGACACGGCCCAAACCCCUACGGGAGGCAGCAGUGGGGAAUAUUGGACAAUGGGCGCAAGCCUGAUCCAGCCAUGCCGCGUGAGUGAUGAAGGUCUUAGGAUUGUAAAGCUCUUUCACCGGAGAAGAUAAUGACGGUAUCCGGAGAAGAAGCCCCGGCUAACUUCGUGCCAGCCGCCGCCGUAACAC